rnacentral:tRNA from 1 species
GGGAUUAUAGUUAAAAAUAACAUUUAAUUUGCAUUUAAAAAAUAUCAAAAUAAUUGAUUUUUCUCA